AUUGAACGCUGGCGGCAGGCCUAACACAUGCAAGUCGAGCGAGCGGCGGACGGGUGAGUAAUGUAUGGGGACUGACCGUUCGAGGGGGCUAACUACUGGAAACGGUGGCUAAUACCGCAUACUAUCGGAUAACCCAUAUGGGAUUAGCUAGUAGGUGGGGUAAAGGCUCACCUAGGCGACGAUCUCUAGCUGGUCUGAGAGGAUGAUCAGGAAAACUGGGAAGGAGACACGGCCCAGAAGCCGACGGAGGCAGCAGUGGGGAAUAGUGGAAAAUGGGCGAAAGCCGGAUGCAGCCAUGCCGCGUGUAUGAAGAAGGACAUAGGGUUGUAAAGUACGUUCAGCGGGGAGGGGUUACCCGCAGAAGAAGCACCGGCUAACUACGUGCCAGCAGCCGCGGUAAUUC
rnacentral:rRNA from 1 species